rnacentral:lncRNA from 1 species
GGCUCGAUUCCGCAAUACAUUCGGUUUGUCACUCAAAAUGGAAUUUGAAUACCAGAAGAGAAUUGAGAUUGUCUUGGAAGAUUGAGGCAUAUUUUCAUUUCACUCUUCCCAACCAAAUGGUUCAUAUAGCAAUCACUCGUUUUCAUUUUUAUUCCAUAGCCCAACUCCCACCAAACUUUUUCAAUUAAAAAUCUUAGGAAAGAAAGAAUGGUUGAGCCCAUAACUCAUUUGAUCGGAAGAUAUUAAUUAGUUGCCGACCUAUGAGGUCAGAGAGGUCCAAUCAUUAUUUCCAAAUAAGCCCUUAGCCAAUAUGAAAUAUCCACUCCUUGGAAUAAAUGACAGAGAUAUUUAAUCCUUUUCAAGGACUUUAUGGUUAAUUGUGAAGGAUUCCAUUCAUGGUCAAAUGUUGCGACAUGGAGACCUUUAGGUGGUCAGUUUGUCCCCUCUCUAAAUGGAGCCAAAGCUCUGUGUAAUGGAAUUGCUGAAGGGAAGAGAAGCAUGUGAUAUGCAAAUCAAUUGCAUAGGAUUCUCUCCUCAAAAUCAGGAGGAUUGGUCCCAAAAUUACCUCAAAGUUAGCGAUACCAAAGGACAUGGAGCUUACCCUUUAUAUUUAAGCCUUUAAGAUAUAUUUUCUCUACUUAAGAUCAACAUUAAGUCCACCAUGGCAAGCUUAAGAUAUAUGUUGCCUUGUCCACCUUCUAUUGACCAUACCAUUAACUUUUUGUUCUUGAUGAUUUCUUGAUUAUUUUUAUUGUUCAGGAAAUUAGUUGGAAUAGUAUCAAUUGCUGGACCUUCACAAAUUUUUAUUUCGGAGUCUUGUCUGACCUGCGUACUUAUUAUUCAAA